rnacentral:siRNA from 1 species
GAAAAAUUCGUGUCAAACCGCUA